UCAGUAACACAGACAGAAUGAGUUACCUC
rnacentral:piRNA from 1 species